rnacentral:snRNA from 1 species
AUACUUAUAACCGGCAAGGGAAAUAACAUGAUCAUUAAAGGUGGAUUUUUCAGGGUGAGGUUUGUCUCUUGUCAUUGCGGAUGUGCUGACUCCUGCGGUUUUCUGCAAAUGUGGGAAACUUAAUUGCAUAAUUUGUGGUAGUGGGGACUAUGUUGGUUCUUUCCCCU